GGAUGUGAGGGCCAGCUGGCUGGCACACUUGUUACCCUAGUGAUCACCAAAGUUGACCUGGCUGACAAGGCAGGUGACCCCCUUAGUCCCACCACCCCACGUGUGUGUUUUCCUUUCUGCUUUUGCACGCUCUUGGUUCC
rnacentral:snRNA from 1 species